AUUGAACGCUGGCGGCAUGCCUUACACAUGCAAGUCGAACGGUAACGGGCCUUCGGGUGCCGACGAGUGGCGAACGGGUGCGUAAUACAUCGGAACGUGCCCGAUCGUGGGGGGUAACGAGGCGAAAGCUUUGCUAAUACCGCAUACGAUCUACGGUUGAAAGCAGGGGACCGCAAGGCCUUGCGCGGACGGUGCGGCCGAUGGCAGAUUAGGUAGUUGGUGGGAUAAAAGCUUACCAAGCCGACGAUCUGUAGCUGGUCUGAGAGGAUGAUCAGCCACACUGGGACUGAGACACGGCCCAGACUCCUACGGGAGGCAGCAGUGGGGAAUUUUGGACAAUGGGCGCAAGCCUGAUCCAGCCAUGCCGCGUGCAGGAUGAAGGCCUUCGGGUUGUAAACUGCUUUUGUACGGAACGAAAAGCCUUCUUUUAAAACAGGAGGGUCAUGACGGUACCGUAAGAAUAAGCACCGGCUAACUACGUG
rnacentral:rRNA from 1 species